rnacentral:rRNA from 1 species
GGCGGCGUGCUUAACACAUGCAAGUCGAACGAUGAAGCCACUUCGGUGGUGGAUUAGUGGCGAACGGGUGAGUAACACGUGGGCAAUCUGCCCUUCACUCUGGGACAAGCCCUGGAAACGGGGUCUAAUACCGGAUAUCAGGUUCGCAGGCAUCUGUGGAUCUGGAAAGCUCCGGCGGUGAAGGAUGAGCCCGCGGCCUAUCAGCUUGUUGGUGAGGUAGUGGCUCACCAAGGCGACGACGGGUAGCCGGCCUGAGAGGGCGACCGGCCACACUGGGACUGAGACACGGCCCAGACUCCUACGGGAGGCAGCAGUGGGGAAUAUUGCACAAUGGGCGAAAGCCUGAUGCAGCGACGCCGCGUGAGGGAUGACGGCCUUCGGGUUGUAAACCUCUUUCAGCAGGGAAGAAGCGAAAGUGACGGUACCUGCAGAAGAAGCGCCGGCUAACUACGUGCCAGCAGCCGCGGUAAUACGUAGGGCGCAAGCGUUGUCCGGAAUUAUUGGGCGUAAAGAGCUCGUAGGCGGCUUGUCACGUCGAUUGUGAAAGCCCGAGGCUUAACCUCGGGUCUGCAGUCGAUACGGGCUAGCUAGAGUGUGGUAGGGGAGAUCGGAAUUCCUGGUGUAGCGGUGAAAUGCGCAGAUAUCAGGAGGAACACCGGUGGCGAAGGCGGAUCUCUGGGCCAUUACUGACGCUGAGGAGCGAAAGCGUGGGGAGCGAACAGGAUUAGAUACCCUGGUAGUCCACGCCGUAAACGGUGGGCACUAGGUGUUGGCGACAUUCCACGUCGUCGGUGCCGCAGCUAACGCAUUAAGUGCCCCGCCUGGGGAGUACGGCCGC